GGUAACCUAGCUGCUCCUAUGGAAGACGAUGAUUGGAAAACUAAUUAAAACAUCAAAUAUGAAUUCUAAAUAAUAGUAUUAAAAAUUAUGUAUCAAUUCAUUAAGGAUCUAAUGAACCAACGAAUAAAAGGUGCAUGUGGGGAAGAAUUGUAUAAUAUAAACAACUAUUUAUCAACUAUUGAGGAUUAUUUGAUGCUCGAUGAUUUAUGGCAAGCUGACUUGGUGGACCAUCAGAAUGACUCCAAAUGAGGUAAAUUCCUCGAAUGAACAACAUUUAUUGGACACUGCAUACAACAAUUUAAAAGCUUUUCAUGGGCCAAAAGUUAAGAUAAAUGAUGAUGUUAGAAUAAGUAAAUAUAAACAUGUAUUUGAAAAGGGGUAUACACCAAAUUGGACAACAGAAAUUUUUAAAAUAAAAUCAAUUAAAACCACAAA